rnacentral:rRNA from 1 species
UACGUAGGGUGCGAGCGUUAAUCGGAAUUACUGGGCGUAAAGCGUGCGCAGGCGGUUCGUUAAGUCAGAUGUGAAAGCCCCGGGCUCAACCUGGGAACUGCAUUUGAAACUGGCGGGCUUGAGUGUGGCAGAGGGGGGUGGAAUUCCACGUGUAGCAGUGAAAUGCGUAGAGAUGUGGAGGAACACCGAUGGCGAAGGCAGCCCCCUGGGUCAAGAUUGACGCUCAUGCACGAAAGCGUGGGGAGCAAACAGG